rnacentral:rRNA from 1 species
UACAGAGGUCUCAAGCGUUGUUCGGAUUCAUUGGGCGUAAAGGGUGCGUAGGUGGCGCCGUAAGUCGGGUGUGAAAUUUCGGAGCUUAACUCCGAAACUGCAUUCGAUACUGCGGUGCUUGAGGACCGGAGAGGAGACUGGAAUUCAUGGUGUAGCAGUGAAAUGCGUAGAGAUCAUGAGGAAGACCAGUGGCGAAGGCGGGUCUCUGGACAGUUCCUGACACUGAGGCACGAAGGCCAGGGGAGCAAACGGG